GGAGUCUGGGCCGUGUCUCAGUCCCAAUGUGGCCGUUCAACCUCUCAGUCCGGCUACCGAUCGUCGCCUUGGUGGGCCAUUACCCCGCCAACAAGCUAAUCGGACGCGAGUCCAUCUCUAAGCGAUAAAUCUUUGAUAUCAAAGUCAUGCGGCUUCAAUAUGUUAUGCGGUAUUAGCGAUCUUUUCAGAACGUUAUUCCCCUCUUAGAGGCAGGUUACUCACGCGUUACUCACCCGUCCGCCACUAAACUAAAAAUCCAUCAUCCCGAAGGAAUCUGUCAAAAUAGUUCCGUUCGACUUGCAUGUGUUAGGCACGCCGCCAGCGUUCGUCCUCGAGCCACUGAUCAAACUACU
rnacentral:rRNA from 1 species